rnacentral:rRNA from 1 species
CAGUCGCCGCGGUAAUACAGAGGGUGCGAGCGUUAAUCGGAUUUACUGGGCGUAAAGCGUGCGUAGGCGGCUAAUUGAGUCGGAUGUGAAAUCCCCGAGCUUAACUUGGGAAUUGCAUUCGAUACUGGUUAGCUAGAGUGUGGGAGAGGAUGGUAGAAUUCCAGGUGUAGCGGUGAAAUGCGUAGAGAUCUGGAGGAAUACCGAUGGCGAAGGCAGCCAUCUGGCCUAACACUGACGCUGAGGUACGAAAGCAUGGGGAGCAAACAGGAUUAGAUACCCCAGUAGUCCCUGUCUCUUAUAC